GUUUUAUGUGAGCUGUGGCAGUAACAAUGCCUUCAGUUCAGUAUCUGAGAGAGUUUAUCAACGAGCGACUAACUGCUGCUGCUGAACAAAUAUUCUUGGAGUUUGAAAAAACGAUCGUCCAGUACGAGGAAGAGAUCGACCGUCAGCGCAGACUGCUGGAUAUCACCUGGAAACCCCAAAUCAAGCUGCACAGGACAGGGAUGAAAUGAUGGACCACACUCCCUGCAUCAUGACUGUAAGCUCUCUGCACAGCAUCCAUGAUAAACACAGACAGCAAAGAAGACAGCAUCUUCCUCCACAGAUGAACACAGAGGGCUAUAACACUGUAACACUACAGAUCUGUGUCCUGGUCACGUGUGCAACUGGUGUUCGUGUGUCAGUCUCUGGGUGUGUCUGCAGUGUGCUGCUGCAUGUGUCUGACUGAGGAUCAGAUUUAACGGGACUGCAAGAUGAAGAUGCUGCUGAUGCUGCUACUCCUCUUACUCGG
ensembl:lncRNA